rnacentral:misc_RNA from 1 species
GUGAAUCAUCAAAUUUUUGAACGCAAAUUGCACUCUCUUCGGAGAGUAUGCCUGUUUGAGUUUCAGCCUAAAAAAAAAUCGACAUAGUCGCUGUUGCGCGGUGACAUUCGUCGGAAAUUGGGUCAUCUUACACCUUUGGGUUCUAAGAGGCUUAAAAUAUUAUUUACGAUUUCACGAUCGUUUCUAAGAGUUAC